UUUUUAGUGGGUGAAGUUCAGUCUUCAGUUUUUAUUUUUAGUCACCUAACUAUAGCCAACUCCUCAGUCAUUUUCUCUGGAUAACUUUUGGAGAUCCUGACAGUUUUGGGAUUAAAACAUUUACUGUUAGUUUGCAUGUAAACUAGUUAUACUGUGUUCACAGAGUGGCCAGUUAUGGGACCAUAGGCAACAACUGCCCCCUUAGUGUCUUUCAUACCAUUACCAUCAUCACCAGAAACUCCAGGUGCCCCAAGCUUAAAGCAAAAAUCCUGAAGUACAUCAGCUCCUCCCUUGCAACGUGCUGGGUUUGGAACAUGCUGUUAAAAUAUCAGAGUUCC
rnacentral:lncRNA from 1 species